GACGAACGCUGGCGGCGUGCCUAAUACAUGCAAGUUGAGCGAUGAAGAUUGGUGCUUGCACCAAUUUGAAGAGCAGCGAACGGGUGAGUAACGCGUGGGGAAUCUGCCUUUGAGCGGGGGACAACAUUUGGAAACGAAUGCUAAUACCGCAUAACAACUUUAAACAUAAGUUUUAAGUUUGAAAGAUGCAAUUGCAUCACUCAAAGAUGAUCCCGCGUUGUAUUAGCUAGUUGGUGAGGUAAAGGCUCACCAAGGCGAUGAUACAUAGCCGACCUGAGAGGGUGAUCGGCCACAUUGGGACUGAGACACGGCCCAAACUCCUACGGGAGGCAGCAGUAGGGAAUCUUCGGCAAUGGACGAAAGUCUGUCCGAGCAACGCCGCGUGAGUGAAGAAGGUUUUCGGAUCGUAAAACUCUGUUGGUAGAGAAGAACGUUGGUGAGAGUGGAAAGCUCAUCAAGUGACGGUAACUACCCAGAAAGGGACGGCUAACUACGUG
rnacentral:rRNA from 1 species